CAAUCAAUGUUUCGGACUGGAGCUGGGGGUCGGGAUCGGGGAGGGUGUAUACAGAGACAAAGUGUGACCCAGAGAGUGGCAGAGUGUAGCGUUCCAGAGAGUUUGGAGACACAGAAUGUGAGUGACAGAGAGAACCAGAGAAUUGACAAGAGUUUUAAGAUACAGAAGGACACAGAGUGUGAGAUACAGAGACACCCAGAGUGCGAGUGGGUUGCCAGAAAUGUACAGACAUCACCGCAGAUGACAGCGUCUCCAUGACUGCCUAAGUUAGUUUACACUCUCGUACCAGCACAUUAUCAAUGGCCUUGUUGGAUUUUGUUUAGUAAACGCAGGGAGGAUAAUGUAUCUUGUUACAUUAAACGUAAUAACACAAAUCCUCGAUAGAAUCACUUCACUAGCGACACAGCAUGUAUUUUGACAAAACAAUUAUUGAUUUGACUUAAUGCAACUCAAGGGCAUUUUAAUUCCCUGUUCCAUCUUACCCCCCUGCCCCUCAGAGCUCCGAGCCAGCAUUGUGCCAAUGGGUGUUAACAUCUUUCCAUUCCUUUCAGUUCCUGAAGUCAGGUCUCCGCAUUUCAAAAGGUUGUUCUGCUUUUGAAGCAAGUUUGUUGAAUGCUACCUCCUUAAUUCCAGAACGCGCACCAACUCUGAAGAAACCUAUACCAUGGGGAGGGAAUAGCAGUAACAUCCCAAAAUAAUAAUUACACUUAUUACAGCGCAUUUCACAUCAGAGCAU